UGGGGAAUAUUGGACAAUGGGCGCAAGCCUGAUCCAGCAAUGCCGCGUGAGUGAUGAAGGCCUUAGGGUUGUAAAGCUCUUUUACCCGGGAAGAUAAUGACUGUACCGGGAGAAUAAGCCCCGGCUAACUCCGUGCCAGCAGCCGCGGUAAUACGGAGGGGGCUAGCGUUAUUCGGAAUUACUGGGCGUAAAGCGCGCGUAGGCGGUUUUUCAAGUCAGGGGUGAAAGCCCGGAGCUCAACUCCGGAACUGCCUUUGAAACUGGAAGACUUGAAUCUUGGAGAGGUCAGUGGAAUUCCGAGUGUAGAGGUGAAAUUCGUAGAUAUUCGGAAGAACACCAGUGGCGAAGGCGACUGACUGGACAAGUAUUGACGCUGAGGUGCGAAAGCGUGGGGAGCAAACAGG
rnacentral:rRNA from 1 species